rnacentral:rRNA from 1 species
GAGCUCGUAGGUGGUUUGUCGCGUUGUUCGUGAAAUCUCACGGCUUAACUGUGAGCGUGCGGGCGAUACGGGCAGACUUGAGUACUGCAGGGGAGACUGGAAUUCCUGGUGUAGCGGUGGAAUGCGCAGAUAUCAGGAGGAACACCGGUGGCGAAGGCGGGUCUCUGGGCAGUAACUGACGCUGAGGAGCGAAAGCGUGGGGAGCGAACAGGAUUAGAUACCCUGGUAGUCCACGCCGUAAACGGUGGGUACUAGGUGUGGGUUUCCUUCCUUGGGAUCCGUGCCGUAGCUAACGCAUUAAGUACCCCGCCUGGGGAGUACGGCCGCAAGGCUAAAACUCAAAGAAAUUGACGGGGGCCCGCACAAGCGGCGGAGCAUGUGGAUUAAUUCGAUGCAACGCGAAGAACCUUACCUGGGUUUGACAUGCACAGGACGCCGGCAGAGAUGUCGGUUCCCUUGUGGCCUGUGUGCAGGUGGUGCAUGGCUGUCGUCAGCUCGUGUCGUGAGAUGUUGGGUUAAGUCCCGCAACGGGCGCAACCCUUGUCUCAUGUUGCCAGCGGGUAAUGCCGGGGACUCGUGAGAGACUGCCGGGGUCAACUCGGAGGAAGGUGGGGAUGACGUCAAGUCAUCAUGCCCCUUAUGUCCAGGGCUUCACACAUGCUACAAUGGCCGGUACAAAGGGCUGCGAUGCCGCGAGGUUAAGCGAAUCCUUUUAAAGCCGGUCUCAGUUCGGAUCGGGGUCUGCAACUCGACCCCGUGAAGUCGGAGUCGCUAGUAAUCGCAGAUCAGCAACGCUGCG